rnacentral:rRNA from 1 species
AUACGGAGGAUGCGAGCGUUAUCCGGAUUUAUUGGGUUUAAAGGGUGCGUAGGCUGUGCGUUAAGUCAGGGGUGAAAUGCCGUCGCUCAACGACGGAGCUGCCCUUGAUACUGGCGUGCUGGAGUACGGAUGCCGUUGGAGGAAUGAGUGGUGUAGCGGUGAAAUGCUUAGAUAUCACUCAGAACACCGAUUGCGAAGGCGUCUGACAAAUCCGUCACUGAAGCUGAGGCACGAAAGCGUGGGGAUAGAACAGGAUUAGAUGCCCUGGUAUUCCACGCCGUAAACGAUGAUGACUAACCGUCGGCGAUAGACAGCCGGUGGCCAAGCGAAAGCGAUAAGUCAUCCACCUGGGAAGUACGUCGGCAACGAUGAAACUCAAAUGAAUUGACGGGG